AACUCGUUUUUAGUAUUUAGGAGUGUAUUGAAUAUAACGAUUCUCUAAAUUCAAUAAUGUUGAAGCAAAAAUUUAAUACAACUUUUAAACUUUGUCAAGUUUGAGUGUACAAGAUGAAUUAACCAUGAAUGAAACUUGUCCCUCUAAUUGUAUCAAUUAUUACAAAUUGGAAAGCGAUGCUUUUCCUUCAUUACUAAUGCAUAUCUCUAACUUGGACAAAAUUUAAAAUUACAUCCAUUUCUUGAUUAAACAGAUAAUGAAUCUAAUUAGUUAUUUGAUACAAUUCAAUUCUAUCCACACAACAAAAGACACAAUUAAUGUAGAUCGAGAACAAAAUUUCGGCUCAUCCAUGCAUUCACACGCAAACACACAAACAUAAUGAAAACGUAAUGAGUAAACUCAGUAUGAUACAUGCACAUGGUCAAGAAUUAGAAUUUUCAACAUUAAAUUCUCAGUAAUUUGAUGGAGCAAGAAACCAAAGCCACAAUUCUCAUUAGUCUACUCCUCUACGUGUCUAUCUAAUUGUACUGAAAAAGCAAACACAAAUACAAAAUAAUUAGGAGCAUUGACUCUUUUUUUUAACAAACGAUGUUAUCUAUU
rnacentral:lncRNA from 1 species